AACUAGCCAUGUUAGCAUCCCAGAACUAGUCAUGGUAACAUCCCAAAACUAGCUAUGGUAUCAUCCCAAAACUAGCAUGUUAGCAUCCCAGAACUAGCCAUGGUAACAUCCCAGAACUAGCCAUUGUAUCAUCCCAAAACUAGCCAUGGUAACAUCCCAGAACUAGCCAUGCUGACAUCCCAGAACUAGGCAUACUGACAGCGCCCGAGCCGGAAGGCUACUAAAUAUGAAUUACUACACUGUUUUUCCUCAUUCUCUCUCCAUAGAUCAUGUAGAAAACUACAUGUACAAUAAUAACAACUCUCUAUCUGUUACUAAAAGUAUAUUAUAUCUGCCCUAAUAACCAGUUACGUCAAAAAUCAUCACAGAACAGCAGCAAGGUCCGAACCACAGCCGCAGCUGAAACAUGGAUCUAUAGAUAGAGCUGGCUAGCUCACUAACGUCAGGUUCAUUUGCAUUAAUCAGCUGGUGAAGACUAGCAUUAUCUUCAUUUUUUUAUAUGUCGCACCAGGAUUGUUUUUGUUUCGUAAAAUAGUAGCAAGCUACAGUAACAACAAUGACUCAACUGUUGAUUCGAUGAUGUAAAUAAAGCGAGUUGCUGAACUAGCAUUAGAGAGAUAUUGGGUGUGAUGAUGUUCGCGUCCAUACGUUGGAUGUAAGUACUGCUGCAGAGGAAAAAUCACCACUUUAGUUCAUGUUAGGCUUCAACUAACUAAUUAGGCAUCUCACUUUAAUCAGCGCUUUAACAUGUGCAUCACUAGCCUGAUGGUUAAUGAACAUCAAGCCUAACGACGUAGUUGAGGAACUCUUGCAAACGCUAAAGCUAAAGCUGUUUUUCGCUUUGUCCGUUUUGCAGUUUCCCAGUGUAAAUAGCGGUAUAUUUUUAAGAUUGGCCAGCCAGCACUUCACACAUGGGGACUGUAAGAGAGAUCUGAUCUCAGAAUUACUGCGAAGCACACCAACGUUUCUAGAGUGAUUCCUUUCUGUCUAAAUUCCACACAAAACCAGCCAGAGGCGUGUUUCUCUCUCAGUCUCGAGAGAAGGUGAGUCAAACCGAGCCAAAGUAGUUGUUAUCUAAUGUUACUCGAGUUAUCUAACGUAUUUUCUUUCUUUUUUUUUUUUUUCCACUUAGAUGCCACAUGUAUAUAGGUCUACUGCACGUUAUCAUUUUUAAAGUAUUCCGUGUUUAAAAUAAAUAAAGAAAAAGUUUAGAGUGCACAUUAACAAAGCAUAAGGUUCAACAGUAAAACUACACACUAUAGCAAAAAUAUCGCUGACACAGCUAUGAACCGAUGUUCGUUUAGAUCCGGACUAAAUAACGAACAUCUACAAUAACUCAAUUCCACAUAAAUUAGCAUAAUUUACACUGCGGCAUUUUACUAAAUAUUGAUGAUGACCCAAGGCUCUGGGUUACUGGAAGGUCGGGGGUUCAAGCUGCCACUGUAAUCCUCUCUGCUCCAGGGGGCGCUGUAUCGUGGCUGAUCCCUCGCUCUGACCCCAACUUCCUAACAUGCUGGGAUACGUGAAGAAAAGAAUUUCACCGUGCACAGCCGCCCAG
ensembl:lncRNA